UGUCUUUUACAUGUGUCAUUAAUGUACAUUCACAAAGGUGAAAUGUAAUUCUGAUCAGCUUCCAUAUAUACUUUAUACCUAUACAUAUACAUACACACACACACACAUACACAUACACAUACGUUGUGGGUGUGGUACUACGUACCGCCCAGCCAGACCCGUCCAGGACCUGUCAACCCGACGGCCGCAGGAAGCCACUCAACAUGAUUUCCAUUGCUCAUCAGAAAUGGAUUUUUAUGUCCGUAAAUCACUCUAUUUCGUUUCGAGAUAUUUAUUGUAUUUGGUUGCAUAAAUAUAUCUUUCUGUCAAGGAAUUAUUUUUUGGAGCUUCCUGCAUACAUAAUUCUGCGUUUGUGACAGGAAUAUACGACGGUGUUUGUGUGUGUUGGUGAGGCUAGCGGAGUCUGGCGUCCUUACACACCCGCGCCUAUAUAAACUGUGGCUCUCCCUGCCACAAGCAGUAUAUAAAGUAUCCUACACUGUUCCUCCUCCUCCUCCUUCUCUUCCUUCCCCUCCUUCUCCCUCUCCGUGUUCUCUUUGUCCACGGGCCUGUUGCCGCAGUCGACUUAGAGUUCCCGCUCCAUGAUGCUGAGAUCGUUUAGUGCUUCGGGCAGCAGCUGCCCAGGGCCGGGGGGCGAGCUGUGAUGCCCUAGUGUGUUCGAGGUCCGGCUCCGGAGGCGUCCAGUGGCACUCCGGUGACUCCAGUGCCAUGAGGGACGCAGGUGUAUCAGGCGCCGGAAGUGUGUGGUGCCAGCAGGUCAUCACGCUGGCGCCACAACAUAUAUAGGCGAUGGUUCUUCCCAGCUUCAACACCUGCUGGAGUGACAGCUGUCUGUUACGGCAUCAACACCUGCUGGAGUGACAGCUGUCUGUUAUGUCAUCAACACCUGCUGGAGUGACAUCUGUCUCUCAUGGCUUCAACAUCUGCUGGAGUAAUAGUAUUAAUAAAAUAUGAAAAUAA